rnacentral:rRNA from 1 species
GGAUUGCCCCAGUAACGGCGAGUGAAGCGGCAACAGCUCAAAUUUGAAAUCUGGCCCCAGGCCCGAGUUGUAAUUUGCAGAGGAUGCUUUUGGUGCGGUGCCUUCCAAGUUCCCUAGAACGGGACGCCAGAGAGGGUGAGAGCCCCGUACAGUUGGACACCAAGCCUUUGUAAAGCUCCUUCGACGAGUCGAGUAGUUUGGGAAUGCUGCUCAAAAUGGGAGGUAUAUUUCUUCUAAAGCUAAAUACCGGCCAGAGACCGAUAGCGCACAAGUAGAGUGAUCGAAAGAUGAAAAGCACUUUGAAAAGAGGGUUAAACAGCACGUGAAAUUGUUAAAAGGGAAGCGCUUGUGACCAGACUUGCGUCCGGUGAAUCACCCAGCUCUCGCGGCUGGGGCACUUCGCCGGCUCAGGCCAGCAUCAGCUCGCUGUCGGGGACAAAAGCUUCGGGAACGUAGCUCCCUCCGGGGAGUGUUAUAGCCUGUUGCACAAUACCCUUCGGCGGGCUGAGGUACGCGCUCCGCAAGGAUGCUGGCAUAAUGGUCAUCAGCGACCCGUCUUGAAACACGGACCAAGGAGUCAACCUUAUGUGCGAGUGUUCGGGUGUCAAACCCCUACGCGUAAUGAAAGUGAACGCAGGUGAGAGCUUCGGCGCAUCAUCGACCGAUCCUGAUGUUCUCGGAUGGAUUUGAGUAAGAGCAUAUAGGGUUGGACCCGAAAGAAGGUGAACUAUGCGUGUAUAGGGUGAAGCCAGAGGAAACUCUGGUGGAGGCUCGCAGCGGUUCUGACGUGCAAAUCGAUCGUCAAAUAUGC